UACGAAGGUCCCAAGCGUUGUUCGGAAUCACUGGGCUUAAAGCGCGUGUAGGCGGGACGGCACGUCGGUCGCUGAAAUCCCCCGGCUCAACCGGGGAACGGGCGCCGAUACGACCGGCCUGGAGGGACGUAGGGGGACCUGGAACUUCCGGUGGAGCGGUGAAAUGCGUUGAGAUCGGAAGGAACGCCCGUGGCGAAAGCGAGGUCCUGGACGUUUUCUGACGCUGAGACGCGAAAGCCAGGGUAGCGAACGGG
rnacentral:rRNA from 1 species